rnacentral:rRNA from 1 species
AUUGAACGCUGGCGGCAUGCUUUACACAUGCAAGUCGAACGGUAACAGGCCGCAAGGUGCUGACGAGUGGCGAACGGGUGAGUAAUGCAUCGGAACGUGCCCAGUCGUGGGGGAUAACGCAGCGAAAGCUGCGCUAAUACCGCAUACGAUCUAUGGAUGAAAGCGGGGGACCGUAAGGCCUCGCGCGAUUGGAGCGGCCGAUGUCAGAUUAGGUAGUUGGUGGGGUAAAGGCUCACCAAGCCAACGAUCUGUAGCUGGUCUGAGAGGACGACCAGCCACACUGGGACUGAGACACGGCCCAGAUUCCUACGGGAGGGAGCAGUGGGGAAUUUUGGACAAUGGGCGCAAGCCUGAUCCAGCAAUGCCGCGUGCAGGAAGAAGGCCUUCGGGUUGUAAACUGCUUUUGUACGGAACGAAACGGUUUGGGUUAAUACCCUGGGCUAAUGACGGUACCGUAAGAAUAAGCACCGGCUAACUACGUGCCAGCAGCCGCCGUAAGAC